GGGGUCUCCAUGGUGGAUCUUGGGGUCUCCAGGGUGGAUUUUGGGGUCUCCUUGAUGUAGGAUAGGGUCACACCAAGGGUUUUGGGGUCUCCAGGGUGGAUUUUGGGGUCUCCAGGGUGGAUUUUGGGGUCUCCAUGGUGGAUUUUGGGGUCUCCAGGGUGGAUUUUGGGGUCUCCUUGAUGUAGGAUAGGGUCACACCAAGGGUUUUGGGGUCUCCAGGGUGGAUUUUGGGAUCUCCUUGAGGUGGGAUUGGGUCACACCAAGGGUUUUGGGGUCUCCAGGGUGGAUUUGGGGGUCUCCAUGGUGGAUUUUGGGGUCUCCUUGAGGUAGGAUAGGGUCACACCAAGGAUUUUGGGGUCUCCAGGGUGGAUUUGGGGGUCUCCAUGGUGGAUCUUGGGGUCUCCAGGGUGGAUUUUGGGGUCUCCUUGAUGUAGGAUAGGGUCACACCAAGGGUUUUGGGGUCUCCAUGGUGGAUUUUGGGGUCUCCUUGAGGUGGGAUAGGGUCACACCAAGGGUUUUGGUGUCUCCAUGGUGGAUUUGGGGAUCUCCUCGAGGUGGGAUUGGGUCCCCCGGAGGGUUUCGGGGGGUCCCAUGAAGGC